rnacentral:rRNA from 1 species
AUUGAACGCUGGCGGCAGGCCUAACACAUGCAAGUCGAACGAGUGGCGGACGGGUGAGUAAUGUCUGGGAAACUGCCUGAUGGAGGGGGAUAACUACUGGAAACGGUAGCUAAUACCGCAUACCAUCAGAUUUGCCCAGAUGGGCUUGGCUUGUUGGUGGGGUAACGGCUCACCAAGGCGACGAUCCCUAGCGGGUCUGAGAGGAUGACCGGCAACACUGGAACGGAGAAACGGUCCAGAGUCUUACGGGAGGCAGCAGUGGGGAAUAUUGGACAAGGGGCGCAAGCCUGAUGCAGCCAUGCCGGGUGUAUGAAGAAGGCCUUCGGGUUGUAAAGUACGUUCAGCGGGGAGGCGGUACCCGAAGAAGAAGCACCGGCUAACUCCGUGCCAGCAGCCGCGGUAAUAC